UACAGAGGUCCCAAGCGUUGUUCGGAUUUACUGGGCGUAAAGGGUGCGUAGGCGGUCGGGUAAGUCUGAUGUGAAAUCUCACAGCUUAACCGUGAAACUGCAUUGGAUACUAUCCGGCUCGAGGAAUGGAGGGGAGACUGGAAUACUUGGUGUAGCAGUGAAAUGCGUAGAUAUCAAGAGGAACACCAGUGGCGAAGGCGAGUCUCUGGACAAUUCCUGACGCUGAGGCACGAAAGCGAGGGGAGCAAACGGG
rnacentral:rRNA from 1 species